rnacentral:misc_RNA from 1 species
GAUGAAGAACGUAGCGAAAUGCGAUACUUGGUGUGAAUUGCAGAAUCCCGUGAACCAUCGAGUCUUUGAACGCAAGUUGCGCCCGAAGCCAUUAGGCCGAGGGCACGCCUGCCUGGGCGUCACACGUCGUUGCCCCCCCAUCUACUCCUUCGGGAUUGCGGGGGGGCGGAUGAUGGCCUCCUGUGCGCCUAGCCGCGCGGUUGGCAUAAAUACCAAGUCCUCGGCGACGCACGCCACGACAAUCGGUGGUUGCGAAACCUCGGUUGCCCGUCGUGUGCGUUCGUCGCGCAUCGAGGGCUCGAAAAAAUGCUCGGCUCCGGCUGGGCUUUCAACGCGACCCCAGGUCAGGCGGGGUUACCCGCUGAAUUUAAGCAUAUCAAUAAGCGGAGGA